rnacentral:rRNA from 1 species
UCGGGAAUUUUGGGCAAUGGGCGAAAGCCUGACCCAGCAACGCCGCGUGAAGGAUGAAGUAUUUCGGUAUGUAAACUUCGUAAGAAUAGGAAGAAUAAAUGACGGUACUAUUUGUAAGGUCCGGCUAACUACGUGCCAGCAGCCGCGGUAAUACGUAGGGACCAAGCGUUGUUCGGAUUUACUGGGCGUAAAGGGCGCGUAGGCGGUUUGUCAAGUCAGUUGUGAAAUCUCCGAGCUUAACUCGGAACGGUCAACUGAUACUGUCAAACUAGAGUACAGAAGGGGCAAUCGGAAUUCUUGGUGUAGCGGUGAAAUGCGUAGAUAUCAAGAGGAACACCUGAGGCGAAGGCGGGUUGCUGGGCUGAUACUGACGCUGAAGCGCGAAAGCUAGGGUAGCAAACGGGAUUAGAUACCCAAGUAGUCCCUGAGCGGGCUGGCAAGGCGCAU